CAGUCGCCGCGGGAAUACGUAGGGUGCAAGCGUUAAUCGGAAUUACUGGGCGUAAAGCGUGCGCAGGCGGUUUUGUAAGACAGAGGUGAAAUCCCCGGGCUCAACCUGGGAACUGCCUUUGUGACUGCAAGGCUAUAGUACGGCAGAGGGGGAUGGAAUUCCGCGUGUAGCAGUGAAAUGCGUAGAUAUGCGGAGGAACACCGAUGGCGAAGGCAAUCCCCUGGGCCUGUACUGACGCUCAUGCACGAAAGCGUGGGGAGCAAACAGGAUUAGAUACCCGCGUAGUCCCUGUCUCUUAUAC
rnacentral:rRNA from 1 species